UGGGGAAUUUUGGACAAUGGGCGAAAGCCUGAUCCAGCAAUGCCGCGUGUGCUGAAGAAGGCCUUCGGGUUGUAAAGCACUUUUGUCCGGAAAGAAAUCCUUGGCUCUAAUACAGUCGGGGGAUGACGGUACCGGAAGAAUAAGCACCGGCUAACUACGUGCCAGCAGCCGCGGUAAUACGUAGGGUGCAAGCGUUAAUCGGAAUUACUGGGCGUAAAGCGUGCGCAGGCGGUUUGCUAAGACCGAUGUGAAAUCCCCGGGCUCAACCUGGGAACUGCAUUGGUGACUGGCAGGCUAGAGUAUGGCAGAGGGGGGUAGAAUUCCACGUGUAGCAGUGAAAUGCGUAGAGAUGUGGAGGAAUACCGAUGGCGAAGGCAGCCCCUGGCCAAGUACUGACGCUCAUGCACGAAAAGCGUGGGGGAGCAAAACAGGAUUAGAUACCCUGGUAGUCCACGCCCUAAAACGAUGUCAACUAGUUGUUGGGGAUUCAUUUCCUUAGUAACGUAGCUAACGCGUGAAGUUGACCGCCUGGGGAGUACGGUCGCAAGAUU
rnacentral:rRNA from 1 species